GCACUAAACAGAAUCCCAGUGGUUGAGAUUGAGGGGCCAGCUUUCCUCCUGAUUCCACACAAGCUUGUUUCUCUCUCUCUCUAUCUUUCCAUCCUCCCCCUUUUCAAACUUCUGCAUGCUUAUUUUUUAAAGUGGGUUUUCUUGCACUCUUGACUUCCAUAUCUGCUGUAUUAGUUUUCCAGGGCUGCUAUAACAAAGUAUCACAAACUAGGUAGCUUAACACAUUAGAAAUUUAUUCUUUCAUUUCUGGAGGUUAGAAAUCUGAAAUGAAGGUGUCUUUAGGGCCAUCUUCUCACCAAACUCUCUACAAAACAAUCCUUCCUUGCUGCUUCUAGCUUCUAGUGUUCGCCAGCAAUCCUUGGUUUCCUAGAGUUGUUGUGUAUCGUUCCAGUUUCUGCUUUUCUCAUCACUUGGCAUUUUCCCUGUGUAUCUGUUUUCCCAUAGUGUUUUUUCAUCUCUCUAUCUCUGUCCAAAUUUUCCUCUUAUGGGGACUCCGUUUAUUGGAUAAGGCCCCACCCUAAUCCAGUAUGAUCUUAUUUUAACUUGAUUACAUCUGCCAAUACCCUAUUUCUAUAUAAGCCCUCAUUCUGAGGUUCCAGGUGGGCAUGGCUUUUGGGGACAUUAUUCAUCCCUGUACACCUGCACAGAGCUAUUCUUACUGAGAGCUUAUAAGUGGUCCAACGUCAGCAAUUAUAGUCUAAGUCUUUUCUUUUGGGAAAUACUUCAAAUACAUAGCAUAUUGUUUUGGGGGGUAGGGUAAACUUUUAAUCGAAAUUUAACAUAAUACAGAGUACAUCCACAAAUUAUAAGUGAAUGCAUUUUUACAGAGUGAGCACAGCCGUGUAACUACCACUUACAUCAAGAAAUAGAAGAUCACCAGCAACCCAGAAGCCUCCAUCAUGUCCCCUCCCCAGUCAUUGUUUCCUUUGAAUAGUCUCUAUUGUGACUUCAAUCACUGUUGGCAAGGUCAAAGCCACCUACGGAAACCUAAGCAACAGAGGAUGCCCCUCCCUGCACUGAGUUUGAACAUCCCAGGUGGACCUCAGACUGCUGUGCUGGCUGUGAGAAUUUUAAGCCAGUGGAUUUUAGCUUGCUGGUCUUUGUGUGUGGAGUGGGGGGACCUGCAAAGCCAGGGAGAUAAGUUCUGUCUUGCUGGCAUUCCAGGCAUCACUGGGGUAUGAGGGGGAAAAAAAGCUGCAGCUAUAACGGCCACAUAGUUUUGUGUUGGCAAGCCUGGGUGCUGGCGUUGAAGGCACUAGAGGGAAUCUCCUGGUCUGUGGGUUGUGAAGACCAUGAGAAAAGUGGAGUAUCUGAGCAGAGUGCCAGAGUGUGGGGAAAAAGUCCCUAAUGGCUGCCCUUGGCUAGGAGAGGGAGUUCUCUGGACCCUUGCAUUUCCCACGUGAGGUGACACCCUACCCUGCUUUGGCUUGCCCUCCUUGGUCUGUCACUGUCUAACCAGUCCCAAUGUGUUGAACCCGGUACUUCAGUUGAAAAUACGGAGAUCACUUGCCUUCUGCAUUGCUCUUGCUUGGAACUGCAGACUGGAGCUUUUCCUGUUCGGUUAUCUUGCAUACUCUGAGUUUCAAGUGUUAAACCAAACUUGCAGUCCUGGAGUAAACCCCAUUUGCUAAUUGUGUGGUAUCUUUUAAUAUCUAUAUCUAUGUCUGUAUUGCUGUUUUCUUGUUUAUAUUUUCAGAAGAGAGAUUGGCCUGUAGUUUUCCACUUUUGAAGUGUCUUUGUUAUGUUUUGAUAGAGAGGUUAUGCUGACCUAUAUUCUAUUGUCUUUUUGUAUUCUCUGAAACAAUUUGUAUUUUGAAUGAGGUCAUCUCCAGCUCUCAAGACCAGCCCAAUUUACCAGCUGAAUACCACUGAAUGAACAAGUACAGUUGGCCCUUGGUAUCUGUGGGCUCCACACCUAUGGGUUCAACCAGUUACAGACCAAAAAAAAUUCUUUUUAAAUCUGCAAGGUUACAAAAAGCAAAGCUUAAAUUUUCUGUGUGCCGUGUGCUAUGUUGAAUCCAUGUGAAGUGAUAGGCAAGCAUUGUAUUCAGUAUUAUAAAUAACAUAAAUGUAGGUUAUGUGCAAGUACACCAUUUUAUAUAAGAGACAUAUAAGAUCUGAUAAUCCUCAGAUGGUAUCUGUGGGAGAUCCUAGAGCCAAUCCCCCAUGGAUACCAAGAAAUGAUCAUAUAUCCACAGUCAUACUACCAUUGGUUAACUAUGGGAGCAGGAGAAAGUCACUUCACCUCUCUGAGACUCAGCUUCAUCAUCUGUAAAAUGUUGCAGUUGAAUCUUUAGGUAAAGUCUAGUUUUAAUGGCCUGUGAUUCUCUUUCAUUCUGUUUCUUGGAAUGUGUC
rnacentral:lncRNA from 1 species